rnacentral:rRNA from 1 species
ACGGGAUUAGUGACCGGUCUUACCACCGGGAUGUUCAUAACCCUUUGUUGUCCGACUCUGUUGCCUCCGGGGCGACCCUGCCUUCGGGCGGGGGCUCCGGGUGGACACUUCAAACUCUUGCGUAACUUUGCAGUCUGAGUAAACUUAAUUAAUAAAUUAAAACUUUUAACAACGGAUCUCUUGGUUCUGGCAUCGAUGAAGAACGCAGCGAAAUGCGAUAAGUAAUGUGAAUUGCAGAAUUCAGUGAAUCAUCGAAUCUUUGAACGCACAUUGCGCCCCCUGGUAUUCCGGGGGGCAUGCCUGUUCGAGCGUCAUUUCACCACUCAAGCCUCGCUUGGUAUUGGGCAACGCGGUCCGCCGCGUGCCUCAAAUCGACCGGCUGGGUCUUCUGUCCCCUAAGCGUUGUGGAAACUAUUCGCUAAAGGGUGUUCGGGAGGCUACGCCGUAAAACAACCCCAUUUCUAAGGUUGACCUCGGAUCAGGUAGGGAUACCCGCUGAACUUAAGCAUAUCAAUAAGCGGAGGAA